CUGUGUGUGAUGGGACGGCAGUGUAUGUUGGCUGCUUGGAAUUCUGACAGCAGCUAACAUGCAUCUGCUCUCUUUUCCCACAUACC
rnacentral:pre_miRNA from 1 species